GGAGGGGUGCGAGAGCGGCCGAAUCGGCACGCUUGGAAAGCGUGUGAAUGGCAACAUUCCGUGGGUUCGAAUCCCACCCUCUCCGCCA
rnacentral:tRNA from 1 species